rnacentral:pre_miRNA from 14 species
UUUCAAAGUUAGUCACAAACUGAAAGAUCCCACGCAGAGAGACCCUUACUCAAGUCUUGGGAAAUCGCGGACCCCAGACACAGAGAGACCA